UUAAGCGACUAAGCGUACACGGUGGAUGCCCUGGCAGUCAGAGGCGAUGAAGGACGUGCUAAUCUGCGAUAAGCGCCGGUAAGGUGAUAUGAACCGUUAUAACCGGCGAUUUCCGAAUGGGGAAACCCAGUGUGAUUCGUCACACUAUCAUUAACUGAAUCCAUAGGUUAAUGAGGCGAACCGGGGGAACUGAAACAUCUAAGUACCCCGAGGAAAAGAAAUCAACCGAGAUUCCCCCAGUAGCGGCGAGCGAACGGGGAGGAGCCCAGAGCCUGAAUCAGCAUGUGUGUUAGUGGAAGCGUCUGGAAAGGCGCGCGAUACAGGGUGACAGCCCCGUACACAAAAGCGCAUGUGCUGUGAGCUCGAUGAGUAGGGCGGGACACGUGGUAUCCUGUCUGAAUAUGGGGGGACCAUCCUCCAAGGCUAAAUACUCCUGACUGACCGAUAGUGAACCAGUACCGUGAGGGAAAGGCGAAAAGAACCCCGGCGAGGGGAGUGAAAAAGAACCUGAAACCGUGUACGUACAAGCAGUGGGAGCACAGGUUUACCUGUGUGACUGCGUACCUUUUGUAUAAUGGGUCAGCGACUUAUAUUCUGUAGCAAGGUUAACCGAAUAGGGGAGCCGGAGGGAAACCGAGUCUUAAUUGGGCGUUAAGUUGCAGGGUAUAGACCCGAAACCCGGUGAUCUAGCCAUGGGCAGGUUGAAGGUUGGGUAACACUAACUGGAGGACCGAACCGACUAAUGUUGAAAAAUUAGCGGAUGACCUGUGGCUGGGGGUGAAAGGCCAAUCAAACCGGGAGAUAGCUGGUUCUCCCCGAAAGCUAUUUAGGUAGCGCCUCGUGAACUCAUCUCCGGGGGUAGAGCACUGUUUCGGCUAGGGGGCCAUCCCGGCUUACCAACCCGAUGCAAACUGCGAAUACCGGAGAAUGUUAUCACGGGAGACACACGGCGGGUGCUAACGUCCGUCGUGAAGAGGGAAACAACCCAGACCGCCAGCUAAGGUCCCAAAGUCAUGGUUAAGUGGGAAACGAUGUGGGAAGGCCCAGACAGCCAGGAUGUUGGCUUAGAAGCAGCCAUCAUUUAAAGAAAGCGUAAUAGCUCACUGGUCGAGUCGGCCUGCGCGGAAGAUGUAACGGGGCUAAACCAUGCACCGAAGCUGCGGCAGCGACACUGUGUGUUGUUGGGUAGGGGAGCGUUCUGUAAGCCUGUGAAGGUGGCCUGUGAGGGUUGCUGGAGGUAUCAGAAGUGCGAAUGCUGACAUAAGUAACGAUAAAGCGGGUGAAAAGCCCGCUCGCCGGAAGACCAAGGGUUCCUGUCCAACGUUAAUCGGGGCAGGGUGAGUCGACCCCUAAGGCGAGGCCGAAAGGCGUAGUCGAUGGGAAACAGGUUAAUAUUCCUGUACUUGGUGUUACUGCGAAGGGGGGACGGAGAAGGCUAUGUUGGCCGGGCGACGGUUGUCCCGGUUUAAGCGUGUAGGCUGGUUUUCCAGGCAAAUCCGGAAAAUCAAGGCUGAGGCGUGAUGACGAGGCACUACGGUGCUGAAGCAACAAAUGCCCUGCUUCCAGGAAAAGCCUCUAAGCAUCAGGUAACAUCAAAUCGUACCCCAAACCGACACAGGUGGUCAGGUAGAGAAUACCAAGGCGCUUGAGAGAACUCGGGUGAAGGAACUAGGCAAAAUGGUGCCGUAACUUCGGGAGAAGGCACGCUGACACGUAGGUGAAGUGAUUUACUCAUGGAGCUGAAGUCAGUCGAAGAUACCAGCUGGCUGCAACUGUUUAUUAAAAACACAGCACUGUGCAAACACGAAAGUGGACGUAUACGGUGUGACGCCUGCCCGGUGCCGGAAGGUUAAUUGAUGGGGUCAGCGCAAGCGAAGCUCCUGAUCGAAGCCCCGGUAAACGGCGGCCGUAACUAUAACGGUCCUAAGGUAGCGAAAUUCCUUGUCGGGUAAGUUCCGACCUGCACGAAUGGCGUAAUGAUGGCCAGGCUGUCUCCACCCGAGACUCAGUGAAAUUGAACUCGCUGUGAAGAUGCAGUGUACCCGCGGCAAGACGGAAAGACCCCGUGAACCUUUACUAUAGCUUGACACUGAACAUUGAGCCUUGAUGUGUAGGAUAGGUGGGAGGCUUUGAAGCGUGGACGCCAGUCUGCGUGGAGCCGACCUUGAAAUACCACCCUUUAAUGUUUGAUGUUCUAACGUGGACCCGUAAUCCGGGUUGCGGACAGUGUCUGGUGGGUAGUUUGACUGGGGCGGUCUCCUCCUAAAGAGUAACGGAGGAGCACGAAGGUUGGCUAAUCCUGGUCGGACAUCAGGAGGUUAGUGCAAUGGCAUAAGCCAGCUUGACUGCGAGCGUGACGGCGCGAGCAGGUGCGAAAGCAGGUCAUAGUGAUCCGGUGGUUCUGAAUGGAAGGGCCAUCGCUCAACGGAUAAAAGGUACUCCGGGGAUAACAGGCUGAUACCGCCCAAGAGUUCAUAUCGACGGCGGUGUUUGGCACCUCGAUGUCGGCUCAUCACAUCCUGGGGCUGAAGUAGGUCCCAAGGGUAUGGCUGUUCGCCAUUUAAAGUGGUACGCGAGCUGGGUUUAGAACGUCGUGAGACAGUUCGGUCCCUAUCUGCCGUGGGCGCUGGAGAACUGAGGGGGGCUGCUCCUAGUACGAGAGGACCGGAGUGGACGCAUCACUGGUGUUCGGGUUGUCAUGCCAAUGGCACUGCCCGGUAGCUAAAUGCGGAAGAGAUAAGUGCUGAAAGCAUCUAAGCACGAAACUUGCCCCGAGAUGAGUUCUCCCUGAGACUUAGAGUCUCCUGAAGGAACGUUGAAGACGACGACGUUGAUAGGCCGGGUGUGUAAGCGCAGCGAUGCGUUGAGCUAACCGGUACUAAUGAACCGUGAGGCUUAACCUU
rnacentral:rRNA from 1 species